rnacentral:lncRNA from 1 species
AAUGUGAAAAACCCAGCAGCGUUGCCGUUCUUAACACAAACCAGUACACCUGGCACCUACCACCAUACACAGUUCAGACACUUAAACAUUUAGUCUUGUCCAUUCACCCUCUGAAUGACACACACAAUCCAUGUCUCAAUUGCCAUUCUUUAACCCGUCUCCUCCCCUUCAUCUACACUGAUUGAAGUGGAUUUAACAGGUGACAUCAAUAAGGGAUCAUAUCUUUCACCUGGAUUCACCUGGUCAGUCUGUGUUUAGGAAAGAGCAGGCGUUCCUAAUGUUUUGUGCACUCCGUGUAUAUUGUAAAUGCUAACUGACAGAGUAAUUGUCCCAUAAGUUUUAAAUGAGGUGUUAACAUUUGGUAUUGUUUGUAAACAUUUAAAUAAAAGCUAUUUAGUUCAGUUUUUAAGUUGUAAUGGGGAGGAUCAGUAGUUCAGAGGGCAGGGUGAUCANNNNNNNNNNNNNNNNNNNNNNNNNUAGUUCAGGGGCGGGCAGGUGUGAUAGUAGUUCAGAAGGGCGGUUGCAUCAUACGCCAGGGUGUAGUUCCAGGGGAUCAGUAUAGUUUCAGAGGGCAGGGUGUCAGUAGUCCAGGGUGAUCAAGUGGCCAGGUGUGAUCAGUAGUUCAGAGUGCAGGGUGAUCAGUAGUUCUGUGGCCAGGGUGAUCAAUAGUUAUGUGGCCAGGGUGAUCAGUAGUUAUGUGGCCAGGGUGAUCAGUAGUUAUGUGGCCAGGGUGAUCGGUAGUUAUGUGGCCAGGGUGAUUGGUAGUUCAGAGGUCAGGGUGAUUGGUAGUUCAGAGGUCAGGGUGAUUGGUAGUUCAGAGGUCAGGGUGAUUGGUAGUUCAGAGGUCAGGGUGAUUGGUAGUUCAGGGGUCAGGGUGAUCGGUAGUUCGGAGUUCAGGGUGA